UGGAGAGUUUGAUCCUGGCUCAGAUUGAACGCUGGCGGCAGGCCUAACACAUGCAAGUCGAGCGGAUGAKUGGAGCUUGCUCCAUGAUUCAGCGGCGGACGGGUGAGUAAUGCCUAGGAAUCUGCCUGGUAGUGGGGGACAACGUUUCGAAAGGAACGCUAAUACCGCAUACGUCCUACGGGAGAAAGYGGGGGAYCUUCGGRCCUYRCGCUAUCAGAUGAGCCUAGGUCGGAUUAGCUAGUUGGUGAGGUAAAGGCUCACCAAGGCGACGAUCCGUAACUGGUCUGAGAGGAUGAUCAGUCACACUGGAACUGAGACACGGUCCAGACUCCUACGGGAGGCAGCAGUGGGGAAUAUUGGACAAUGGGCGAAAGCCUGAUCCAGCCAUGCCGCGUGUGUGAAGAAGGUCUUCGGAUUGUAAAGCACUUUAAGUUGGGAGGAAGGGCAGUAAGUUAAUACCUUGCUGUUUUGACGUUACCGACAGAAUAAGCACCGGCUAACUUCGUGCCAGCAGCCGCGGUAAU
rnacentral:rRNA from 1 species